UUUUUCUAAGUGGAUAAGCGAAAGUGAUAAGUAUCCCACCUGGGGAGUACGUUCGCAAGAAUGAAACUCAAAGGAAUUGACGGGGGCCCGCACAAGCGGUGGAGCAUGUGGUUUAAUUUGAUGAUACGCAAGGAACCUUACCAAGGCUUAAAUGUAUGAUGACAGGAUUAGAGAUAAUUUUUUCUUCGGACAUUAUACAAGGUGCUGCAUGGUUGUCGUCAGCUCGUGCCGUGAGGUGUCAGGUUAAGUCCUAUAACGAGCGCAACCCUUGUUGUUAGUU
rnacentral:rRNA from 1 species